rnacentral:rRNA from 1 species
GACGAACGCUGGCGGCGUGCCUAAUACAUGCAAGUUGAGCGAUGAAGCUUGGUGCUUGCACCAAUUUGAAGAGCAGCGAACGGGUGAGUAACGCGUGGGGAAUCUGCCUUUGAGCGGGGGACAACAUUUGGAAACGAAUGCUAAUACCGCAUAACAACUUUAAACAUAAGUUUUAAGUUUGAAAGAUGCAAUUGCAUCACUCAAAGAUGAUCCCGCGUUGUAUUAGCUAGUUGGUGAGGUAAAGGCUCACCAAGGCGAUGAUACAUAGCCGACCUGAGAGGGUGAUCGGCCACAUUGGGACUGAGACACGGCCCAAACUCCUACGGGAGGCAGCAGUAGGGAAUCUUCGGCAAUGGGCGAAAGUCUGACCGAGCAACGCCGCGUGAGUGAAGAAGGUUUUCGGAUCGUAAAACUCUGUUGGUAGAGAAGAACGUUGGUGAGAGUGGAAAGCUCAUCAAGUGACGGUAACUACCCAGAAAGGGACGGCUAACUACGUG